CCAAUAGCGUAUAUUAAAGUUGUUGCAGUUAAAAAGCUCGUAGUUGAACUUCGGGGUUUACCCAUUGGUCAGGCUUAAUUGUCUGUACUGGUGAGAUAAAUCUCUACCUUCUGAGGAACUUUCAUGCCAUUUAUUUGGUGUGGGAGGAAAUCAGGACUGUUACUUUGAAAAAAUUAGAGUGUUUAAAGCAGGCUAACGUCUGAAUACAUUAGCAUGGAAUAAUGAAAUAGGACGGACUGAUUCUAUUUCGUUGGUUUCUAGGAUCACCGUAAUGAUUAAUAGGGAUAGUUGGGGGCAUUAGUAUUCAAUUGUCAGAGGUGAAAUUCUUGGAUUUAUUGAAGACUAACUACUGCGAAAGCAUUUGCCAAGGAUGUUUUCAUUAAUCAAGAACGAAAGUUAGGGGAUCGAAGACGAUCAGAUACCGUCGUAGUCUUAACCAUGAACUAUGCCGACUAGGGAUCGGACGAAGUUAAUUUUAUAAUGACGCGUUCGGCACCUUACG
rnacentral:rRNA from 1 species